rnacentral:lncRNA from 1 species
GCGAAGUUCAGGUUAAAGUUUUGGAUUAAGUUUUUGGUCAAGGUAGUUUUUGAUGAAGUUGAAGUCACAUGAACUUGAAAAUUAGUACACAUGUUCCCUAUGAUAUGAUCUUUCUAAUUCCAAAUUUAAGUUUUGACCCUGAUUGCCCGUUCCAUUGAACAUGGAAGAUGAUUGUGUAAGUGGGGCAUCCAUGUACUAUUGACACAUUCUUGUUGGUUCUGUUUUCAAAACUGGUCUACAUUAAGGUCCAAAGGGUCUAAAAUUAAACUUAGUUUGAUUUUAACAAAAAACUAAUUCUUGGGGUUAAAUUCUAAUUCGUAAACUCAUACAAAUAUAAAAUAUUUAUCAAAUAACCACUAACUCUCACAUGAGAGACGCCACUUGCAGAGACAAGUAUAUGUUUAAUGAAAAUCAAUGUUUUUUGUGUAAAUACACCGAACAUUCUCAGCUGGUACUGGUUACCGCAUACUAAAGGUGAACAAAUCUGAAAAGAAAUAAUGUAAAAUUAUUAUAUUAUUUAUUUGAAAAAGUGCUACUGGUCACUUUAACUGCAAUGGCUGGAAUGACUUUAAACUACCUGAAUUCACUCGUGCAUGAAACUUUAAACCCCAUACAAACCGACCUUACUAUAAAUAACUAUACACGUGUUAACUAUAAACAACAACAACAUUCUUACAUGUCCGACUUUUGUACAACUUUGAUAAGAACAUUUUUUUGAUAUGCUGAAUCUAAACAGUAUUUAGAUUUUUAUGCCCCACCUACGAUAGUAGAGGGGCAUUAUGUUUUCUGGUCUGUGCGUCCGUUCGUCCGUCCGUCUGUUCGUUCGUUCGUCCGUUCGUCCGUCUGUCCCGCUUCAGGUUAAAGUUUUUGGUCAAGGUAGUUUUUGAUGAAGUUAAAGUCCAAUCAACUUGAAACUUAGUACACAUGUUCCUUAUGAUAUGAUCUUUCUAAUUUUAAAGCCAAAUUAAACUUUUGACCCCAAUUUCACGGUCCACUGAACAUAGAAAAUGAAAGUGCGAGUUUCAGGUUAAAGUUUUUGGUCAAGGUAGUUUUUGAUGAAGUUGAAGUCCAAUCAACUUUAAACUUAGUACACAUGUUCCCUAUGAUAUUAUCUUUCUAAUUUUAAUGCCUAAUUAUAUUUUUUACCCAAUUUCACGGUCCAUUGAACAUGGAAAAUGAUAGUGCGAGUGGGGCA